rnacentral:rRNA from 1 species
UAGUCCACGCCCUAAACGAUGUGCACUAGAUCGAGGUAGGUCUGACCCUUUCUCGGUCGUAGAGAAAUUGUUAAGUGCACCGCCUGGGGAGUACGGUCGCAAGGCUAAAACUCAAAGGAAUUGACGGGGGGCUCACACAAGCGGUGGAGCAUGUUGCUUAAUUCGAAGCAACGCGAAGAACCUUACCAGGGUUUGACAUGCACGGAUUAACUCUGUGAAAGCAGAGCCACACCUUCGGGUGGAACGUGCACAGGUGCUGCAUGGCUGUCGUCAGCUCGUGCUGUGAAGUGUCGGGUUAAGUCCCUUAACGAGCGCAACCCUUAUCGCUAGUUGCCAGCGUGUAACGACGGGGACUCUAGCGAGACUGCCGGUGUCAAACCGGAGGAAGGUGGGGAUGACGUCAAAUCAUCAUGGCCUUUAUGCCCUGGGCUACACACGUGCUACAAUGGUGGAUACAAAGGGUUGCCAACCCGCGAGGGGGAGCUAAUCUCAGAAAAUCCAUCUCAGUCC